GCCCUCGUGGAUAAAUUCGCACAUCACCCAUUCUGAGUUCAUCUGGCCAAGGGUAAUAUUGGGAGGCGGAGGUUUGAAUCCUCCCGGGGGCA